AGAGGCAGAGAGAGAGAGAGGAGCCACCCUGAGAAGGAAGAGACCAGGUGGGCUCUGAGACAGGGAGACCCUUUCUACGUCGGUGCCUUGACAUGUGACUUUUUUGUCACUUCGUGCUCCAGGAUCACACCUGGAUGAACUAUCACUUUCAAAUGACCUUGUCUUUUCUCGGGCCUUCUGAACUGAUCAUCUCUUCCUUCUGAUACAAGAGGAUCUUCCCUGGAAGACCACUGCACACCUUCUAGUAACACUGCGACCCUGGUCUCCAUCACUCUCUGCUGCCUGGUAACUGGUAUUGGACACCUGGACAUCUGCAUCCCCGAGCCUUGAGAACCCAACACGUGUUCUGGAAUGACUGGCAGUAGCACCCCACCACUCAACCCCCAUAUGAGAAGAAAAAGGCCUCCUGCCUCCUCUUCUUUCACCAGACACUGUGGGCCCACAAUUCCCAUGUGCACCCCAAAGAUCCAAGCCACUAGCUCUCUCUCCACC
rnacentral:lncRNA from 1 species